rnacentral:rRNA from 1 species
UUUGAGACCGGCGCACGGGUGCGUAACGCGUAUGCAAUCUACCUUUCACAGAGGGAUAGCCCAGAGAAAUUUGGAUUAAUACCUCAUAGUAAUACGACUUGGCAUCAAGAUGUAUUUAAAGAUUUAUCGGUGAAAGAUGAGCAUGCGUCCCAUUAGCUAGUUGGUAUGGUAACGGCAUACCAAGGCUACGAUGGGUAGGGGUCCUGAGAGGGAGAUCCCCCACACUGGUACUGAGACACGGACCAGACUCC